rnacentral:tRNA from 1 species
AAAAAGUUAGUUUAUAAUAAAACAUUAUCUUGUCAAGAUAAAAAUACAAAAUAUGUACUUUUUU